UACGGAGGGUGCGAGCGUUGUCCGGAAUCACUGGGCGUAAAGGGCGCGUAGGCGGGCUAGCAAGUCAGGGGUGAAAGCCCACGGCUCAACCGUGGAAGUGCCUUUGAUACUGCCAGUCUGGAGGGAGGUAGGGGCGUGCGGAACUUCCGGUGGAGCGGUGAAAUGCGUAGAUAGUCGGGAAGGAACACCGGUGGCGAAAGCGGCGCGCUGGACCUCUUCGUGACGCUGACGGCGCGAAAGCCAGGGG
rnacentral:rRNA from 1 species